rnacentral:misc_RNA from 1 species
CGGCAUAUUUUCGCCUCGUCAUGUCCUUGAUGUAUCCAAAUUUGGCGUUCACUUCGUUGAUAUCAUGUACCUCAACACGAUCCUCCGGUUCCCCCAUGUGCGGCGCAAGAUGAGCGAUUUGAAGAUAAAGUGGGUUUUCCACAUCGUGGUGGCCUAUGAUGUUCUCUACUUCCUCUGUGACUAUAUCCGUGAAAUACUUCCUGCUUCUCACGACUUCGGAAGUGUUUCGAGAGUCCCGAUGAAGGUCAUAACCGGUAUCGUU